rfam:Moheibacter sediminis strain CGMCC 1.12708 genome assembly, contig: Ga0171597_103
GCGGGAAUAGCUCAAUUGGUAGAGCAUCAGCCUUCCAAGCUGAAUGUUGCGAGUUCGAGUCUCGUUUCCCGCU